rnacentral:rRNA from 1 species
GACGAACGCUGGCGGCGUGCCUAAUACAUGCAAGUAGAACGCUGAAGGAGGAGCUUGCUUCUCUGGAUGAGUUGCGAACGGGCGAGUUACGCGUAGGUAACCUGCCUGGUAGCGGGGGAUAACUAUUGGAAACGAUAGCUAAUACCGCAUAAGAGUAGAUGUUGCAUGACAUUUGCUUAAAAGGUGCAAUUGCAUCACUACCAGAUGGACCUGCGUUGUAUUAGCUAGUUGGUGGGGUAACGGCUCACCAAGGCGACGAUACAUAGCCGACCUGAGAGGGUGAUCGGCCACACUGGGACUGAGACACGGCCCAGACUCCUACGGGAGGCAGCAGUAGGGAAUCUUCGGCAAUGGACGGAAGUCUGACCGAGCAACGCCGCGUGAGUGAAGAAGGUUUUCGGAUCGUAAAGCUCGGUUGUAAGAGAAGAACGAGUGUGAGAGUGGAAAGUUCACACUGUGACGGUAUCUUACCAGAAAGGAACGGCUAACUACGUG